UUAUUACUCACAGUUCUGUAGUUUUAACCAGAACAAAGGGAUUACCCAGAAGAAAAGAAAGUGAACAAAACAAGACCCUACUAUGAUGAUUCUACAUGGAGCUGAUUUUAACAGAAGAGUAGCCUUCAUUGUGCCUUUCCAUAAAUGUUGGCUUUAUCCAUGUAUUAAAGCACAGAUUUCUUGGGAGACCACAAAGAUUGAGAGUGAAAGAUAAAAUCUGAAGAGAACCUGGG
rnacentral:lncRNA from 1 species